GCUCCCAUCCAGGAAGGCGCAGGCGCGCAAAUUACUCAUGUUGUAUCGACGAAGUAGUGACGAGAAAUAAUAGUGGGGUGGGCUUUGCCUACUCUUUCUGUAAUGAGAGCAAUGUAAAAACCUCAUCGAGGAUCAACUGGAGGGCAAGUCUGGUGCCAGCAGCCGCGGUAAUUCCAGCUCCAGAAGCGUGUAUUAAAGUUGUUGCAGUUAAAAAGCUCGUAGUUGAAGUAUUGGUAGGUUGGAUCGGCUCUUGCGGUGAAUGCCGCUUGUAAUGUCUGUGUCCGGCUGGCCAUCAUUUCACUGUUUUUUAUGGAUGGUGAAUCAUUUACUGUAAAAAAAUUAGAGUGUUUCAAGCAAAAGGUUGUAUUUGGAAUAUAGUAGUAUGGAAUAAUAAGAUAGGACUUUGGUACUAUUUUGUUGGUUUGCAUACCGAAGUAAUGAUUAACAGGGACAGUUGGGGGUAUUCGUAUUUGGUUGUCAGAGGUGAAAUUCUUGGAUUUACAAAAGACGAACUACUGCGAAAGCAUUUACCAAGGAUGUUUUCAUUAAUCAAGAACGAAAGUUAGGGGAUCGAAGAUGAUUAGAUACCAUCGUAGUCUUAACCGUAAACGAUGCCGACUUGCGAUUGUCCGAUGUUUGUUUUAAUAAGACAUGGGCAGCAGCACAUGAGAAAUCAAAGUCUUUGGGUUCCNGGGGGAGUAUGGUCGCAAGGCUGAAACUUAAAGGAAUUGACGGAAGGGCACCACCCGGGAGUGGAGCCUGCGGCUUAAUUUGACUCAACACGGGGAAA
rnacentral:rRNA from 1 species